rnacentral:rRNA from 1 species
UACGGGGGGAGCAAGCGUUGUUCGGAUUUACUGGGCGUAAAGGGCGCGUAGGCGGCUUUUCAAGUCGGGCGUGAAAUCUCCAGGCUUAACCUGGAAGGGUCGUUCGAUACUGUUAAGCUAGAGUGUGGAAGAGGCUACUGGAAUUCCUGGUGUAGCGGUGAAAUGCGCAGAUAUCAGGAGGAACACCGGUGGCGAAGGCGGGUCUCUGGGCCGAUACUGACGCUGAGGAGCGAAAGCGUGGGGAGCGAACAGG